UCCAAAUUGGUGUAGUGGUUAGCAUUUUCCGCUCUCAAGACAGUCGUAGCGACUGAGGGCCCGGAAAGACAAGCGUUCGAUUCUCUUAUUUGGAG